rnacentral:misc_RNA from 1 species
AGCCUGUAAUAGGAUCCGAGUAUUAAAGUCAGUUGUUGAAUAAGGAUUCAAGAAGUAUGAGACAUCAGUUCUCUGCUUUAAUCCUUCUUCUAUUUAAUUUAUGUCGGGUGGUCUCCUCACAGGAACUGGAGUUAGAUAAUCUUAUUCAACGAAUACAAGCUCAGCACCAACAACAUUCAAGGAUUUGCAUCAUUGAUCUAGUGGAUGAUCUAGAAAUGAGUUUACCAGCAGCAAGCCCUGAAAACGGAAUAAAAAUAAAACAUGCAAUCAACUUUAUCAGUUAUGAUAUGAACACUACUAUUCAAAUGACAAAGGCACCAGAGAAACUCAAAGAACUGCUAAACAAUGCUUUUGAUUUUGGGAAUAAAUGUACAUCAAAUUCAAGCAAUCUUUUAACUAAUGUGCCUAAUACACCUUUUAUAAAAGAACCAUUCCCAUCUCCUGACAAACCAGCAAGAACACCUAAUGAAGAACCAGCAAUGGAAGGACCUUCAAGACCAUUUGUUGAAGAACCUGCAAGACCUCCUAUCAAAGAAACUGAAGUACCUCCUAUUAGAGAACCUGCAGAACCUUCUACAGAAAUGCCAACAAGACCUUCAACUGAAGAACCCCAAAACUCUCCUAUUGAAGAACCCCAAAACUCUCCUAUUGAAGAAUCUGAAAAUCCUCCUAUGGAAGAACCUGCAAUACCACGUGUGGAAAAACCUGCAAGACCUCCUAACAAAGAAACUGAGGAACCUUCAAAACCUCCUACUGAAAAACCUGCAAGACCUCCAACUCAGGGAUCUUCACAACCUACAAGUAAAGAACCUACCCAACCUCCAAGUGAAGAACCAGCUCCUGAGGCAUCAACCACUUCAACACUCUUUAAACCCUCUUCGCUCCUCAAAGAUUCAAAUAAUUCAUUUCCCACAACCACAGAUAAAACUAAUAGGUAUGAGGAUUAUGGAAUUACACAAAAAUUUAUACCUUCAUUGUUUGACCGAGAUGAUGAAAAUUCCACAAAUUCUGCAGAAACAACUGGGACUGACCCUGACAAUAAUACCCCAAAAGGUAUAACUCCAAAUUCAGGGAUAUCAACCCCUCUACCUAGAGAUCUGACUCCAAUAACUACACUAAGGCCAAAAGAAAAGGAUAGAAGAACUGAAAGAUUUAAUCCUAAUUUUACUAAACCCAAAAAUAUUUCGACAUCAACCCCCUCUUUCUUCACUGUUCCAUCAGGAGAUAACUCUACUGAUUUAAAUAAAACUGUGCCAAGAGAUUACAAUGAAAACAGGAAGGAAGCUUUUGAUCCAAAUUUCUUUAACAGGAAUAAAACUGCAACAUCCACACCUUCAAACUCAAACAUAUCAAAUCUAAUAGAUGAGAUUCCUGACAGGAGACAGGGGUUUGAUCCUAAGUUUAUUCAGAAUAUGGAAAAUACUAAACCCUCUCUUCUACUAGAUCCAAAUUUUACUCCAAACACAAUUAAUUCCACCCCAUCAACACCACAAGAAAAAAAUGUCCCACAGAAAGAGAACUUUAAUCCAAGGUUUCUCAGCCCCAGGGAACCCAUAACAAGGACAAAUGAUCUUGUCACUCGGCCGCCCAGAACUAGUGUUACCUUUAUACCCAGAACAAGGAACACCCGUAAACCUAGAACAAGGAACACCCGUAAACCUAGAACAAGAAACACUCGUAAACCCAGACCAAGAAGAAAAAACUUUAUCCCGCAGAAUUCCAUUCCUAGAACAAAUAAUCUUACUACCCGGAAUCCUAGAACCAGAGGAAAUGGUUUUAACCCUCUAGAUCGCAGAAACAGGACAAAUGAAUUUUACACCACAUCUUUUGGAUAUCGGAAUCAAGAAACUGAAAACAGAACAAAUAAUUUUAACCCCACAAGUUUUGGUUUUCGGGAUCAAGGAAAUGUAAACCGAACAAACGAAUUUUACCCCACAACUUUUGAUUACCGGGAUCAAGGAAAUGAAAACCGAACACAAAAUUUUGUUCCUAAGAAUUUUACCAAUGGUUCUGGUAAUUCUUCCACAACUCCAAUUAGAAAUGAGUUAUUUUCACCCACAUUUUUAGAACCAAGAAGUACAGAGGAGUAUAUUGAAGUGGCUACAUUUGAGGAGAUUACAAGUUUAAAUAAUACACAGCCCAACAAGACCAAAGAAUUUGAACCAAAACAAUUAAAAACCAAGACAGGAGAUGCUAUUCAAGAAGCUACAUUUACUGAGAUCAGUGCAACUCCUACACUUGAUGAUUUUAAGCCUCCAACUUCUGUUAAUGAACCGGUUGAAGGAGUAAAUUCUGAAAGAGCAGGAAUUCCUAUAAUCCAGCCUGGUAAGACUGAUCCAAUUGUAACAGCUGGUAUGAAUUCAACAAACAGUACUACUGCUGAUCCAAUUGUAACAGCUGGUAUGAAUUCAACAAACAGUACUACUGAGCCACCCAUAAAAAUUUCAGAAUAAUUUGAGACAGAUCUUGAUAGUAAGACUUCUUUAAAGGACCUUAGAUGAAUACGGGCAAGAUUUGAUGGACCCCUAUGAAAUUGGUAUCGAGCAGGAGGAGUACUCGGACAGGGUUCUUCUUGAUAACUUGCCAUCU